GGCUCUGUAGCUCAACUGAAUAGAGCAUCUCACUACGGAUGAGAAGGUUUCAGGUUUGAAUCCUGACAGGGUCACAA
rnacentral:tRNA from 2 species